rnacentral:rRNA from 1 species
GUAGGGUGCAAGCGUUAAUCGGAAUUACUGGGCGUAAAGCGUGCGCAGGCGGUUAUAUAAGACAGAUGUGAAAUCCCCGGGCUCAACCUGGGAACUGCAUUUGUGACUGUAUAGCUAGAGUACGGCAGAGGGGGAUGGAAUUCCGCGUGUAGCAGUGAAAUGCGUAGAUAUGCGGAGGAACACCGAUGGCGAAGGCAAUCCCCUGGGCCUGUACUGACGCUCAUGCACGAAAGCGUGGGGAGCAAACAGGAUUAGAUACCCUGGUAGUCCACGCCCCUAAACGAUGUCAACUGGUUGUUGGGUCUUCACUGACUCAGUAACGAAGCUAACGCGUGAAGUUGACCGCCUGGGAGUACGGCCGCAAGGUUG